CUUUACUAUAGCCUGGAAUUGGGUUCGGGCUUCGCUUGCGCAGAAUAGGUGGGAGACGAUGAAGAUAACCUUGUGGGGUUAUUGGAGUCAUCGGUGAGAUACCACUCUAGCGAGGCUAGAAUUCUAACUUGCUCCCGUAAUCCGGGAGAAGAACAGUUUCAGGUGGGUAGUUUGACUGGGGCGGUCGCCUCCAAAAAAGUAACGGAGGCGCACAAAGGUUCCCUCAGGCUGGAUGGAAAUCAGCCAGAGAGUGUAAAGGCACAAGGGAGCUUGACUGCGAGAGAGACAACUCAAGCAGGUAGGAAACUAGGUCUUAGUGAUCCGACGGUGCUGCGUGGAAAGGCCGUCGCUCAACGGAUAAAAGUUA
rnacentral:rRNA from 1 species